CUACGGGAGGCAGCAGUGGGGAAUAUUGCACAAUGGACGAAAGUCUGAUGCAGCAACGCCGCGUGGAGGAUGACACAUUUCGGUGCGUAAACUCCUUUUAUAUAGGAAGAUAAUGACGGUACUAUAUGAAUAAGCGCCGGCUAACUCCGUGCCAGCAGCCGCGGUAAUACGGAGGGCGCAAGCGUUACUCGGAAUCACUGGGCGUAAAGAGCGUGUAGGCGGAUAGAUAAGUCAGGAGUGAAAUCCUAUGGCUCAACCAUAGAACUGCUCUUGAAACUGUCUAUCUAGAAUAUGGGAGAGGUAGAUGGAAUUUCUGGUGUAGGGGUAAAAUCCGUGGAGAUCAGAAGGAAUACCGAUUGCGAAGGCGAUCUACUGGAACAUUAUUGACGCUGAGACGCGAAAGCGUGGGGAGCAAACAGGAUUAGAUACCCUGGUAGUC
rnacentral:rRNA from 1 species